UUUUUUUCUCUCUUCUCAUUUUUCUUAAUUUAAAUCACCCGCGCAGAUGGAAGACUUCUCCAUGCGCGAAAGCCACAAUAAAAUGUAAGCUACGUGACUGCUGGUUGACUAGCGGGGACUUCUGCAAUCUCAGCACCGCGAGCUUUUAAAAAGGCGAUCAACAGCCAAAUCCAGGUCUUAGUUGGUUAAUUCGACUUCCGCGUUUAACUGACGGGCCCGUGCCUUGUAGAGUCCUUUGCUUUAAUUUGCUCCGCACUUAAAGGAAGUUUGGACGCGGUUUCAACCGGCAGGCCACGUAUUAGUUUUAAGUGUAAACCAGGUCUUUGUUAGUUAAUUCGACUUCCGCGUUUAACUUGACGGGCCCGUGCCUUGUAGAGUCCUUUGCUUUAAUUUGCUCCGCACUUAAAGGAAGUUUGGACGCGGUUUCAACCGGCAGGCCACGUAUUAGUUUUAAGUGUAAACCAGGUCUUUGAGCAGUUAAUUUGACUUCCGCGUUUAACUGACGGACCCGUGCCUUGUAAAAGUCCCUUGUCUUAAUUUGCGCUGCACUUAAGACGAGUUCAGACUCGGUUCAACCGGCAGGCCACGUAUUAGUUAUUA